rnacentral:rRNA from 1 species
AGAGUUUGAUCAUGGCUCAGAUUGAACGCUGGCGGCAGGCCUAACACAUGCAAGUCGAGCGGUAGCACAGAGAGCUUGCUCUCGGGUGACGAGCGGCGGACGGGUGAGUAAUGUCUGGGAAACUGCCUGAUGGAGGGGGAUAACUACUGGAAACGGUAGCUAAUACCGCAUAAUGUCGCAAGACCAAAGUGGGGGACCUUCGGGCCUCAUGCCAUCAGAUGUGCCCAGAUGGGAUUAGCUAGUAGGUGGGGUAACGGCUCACCUAGGCGACGAUCCCUAGCUGGUCUGAGAGGAUGACCAGCCACACUGGAACUGAGACACGGUCCAGACUCCUACGGGAGGCAGCAGUGGGGAAUAUUGCACAAUGGGCGCAAGCCUGAUGCAGCCAUGCCGCGUGUGUGAAGAAGGCCUUCGGGUUGUAAAGCACUUUCAGCGGGGAGGAAGGCGUUAAGGUUAAUAACCUUGGCGAUUGACGUUACCCGCAGAAGAAGCACCGGCUAACUCCGUGCCAGCAGCCGCGGUAAUACGGAGGGUGCAAGCGUUAAUCGGAAUUACUGGGCGUAAAGCGCACGCAGGCGGUCUGUCAAGUCGGAUGUGAAAUCCCCGGGCUCAACCUGGGAACUGCAUUCGAAACUGGCAGGCUAGAGUCUUGUAGAGGGGGGUAGAAUUCCAGGUGUAGCGGUGAAAUGCGUAGAGAUCUGGAGGAAUACCGGUGGCGAAGGCGGCCCCCUGGACAAAGACUGACGCUCAGGUGCGAAAGCGUGGGGAGCAAACAGGAUUAGAUACCCUGGUAGUCCACGCCGUAAACGAUGUCGAUUUGGAGGUUGUGCCCUUGAGGCGUGGCUUCCGGAGCUAACGCGUUAAAUCGACCGCCUGGGGAGUACGGCCGCAAGGUUAAAACUCAAAUGAAUUGACGGGGGCCCGCACAAGCGGUGGAGCAUGUGGUUUAAUUCGAUGCAACGCGAAGAACCUUACCUGGUCUUGACAUCCACAGAACUUAGCAGAGAUGCUUUGGUGCCUUCGGGAACUGUGAGACAGGUGCUGCAUGGCUGUCGUCAGCUCGUGUUGUGAAAUGUUGGGUUAAGUCCCGCAACGAGCGCAACCCUUAUCCUUUGUUGCCAGCGGUCCGGCCGGGAACUCAAAGGAGACUGCCAGUGAUAAACUGGAGGAAGGUGGGGAUGACGUCAAGUCAUCAUGGCCCUUACGACCAGGGCUACACACGUGCUACAAUGGCAUAUACAAAGAGAAGCGACCUCGCGAGAGCAAGCGGACCUCAUAAAGUAUGUCGUAGUCCGGAUUGGAGUCUGCAACUCGACUCCAUGAAGUCGGAAUCGCUAGUAAUCGUAGAUCAGAAUGCUA